AUUCUAUAUUAAAGAUAUAUUUGAAGAAUAUUUUUUUCAAAUAAUAGUAAUUUUUUUGAAUAAUCUUAUUAUAGGUUUUGUCAAAUCUCAAAGCUCAAUUCUGGACAUGUAGUGGAAACUAACAAGCUAGAGUAUGGUAGGGCCAGAGGGAAUUUCCAGUGGAGCGGUGAAAUGAGUAGAGAUUGGAAAGAACACUAACGGUGAAACCACUCUGCUCGGCCGACACUGACACUAAGAGACGAAAGCUAGGGGAGCAAAUGGGAUUAUAUGCCCUAGUAGUCCUAGCCGUAAACAAUGGAUACUAGGCGCUGUGCAUGUCGACCCGUGUAGUGCUGCAGCUAACACAUUAAGUAUCCCACCUGGGGAGUACACUCAGAAGAAUGAAACUCAAAGGAAUUGACAGGGGCCCGCAAAGCGGUAGAGCAUGUGGUUUAAUUCAAUGCAAAGUGAAGAACCUUAUUAGGGCUUGACAUGUCACGAAUCCUCUUGAAAGAGAGGGGUGCCUUCGGGAACGCAGACACAGGUGGUGCAUGGUUGUCGUCAGCUCGUGAAGUAAGGUGUUGAGUUAAGUCCCGUAAUGAGCGCAACCCUCGUGUUUAGUUGCCACCGUUGAGUUUGAAACCUUGAGCAGAUUGUCGGUGAUAAGCCGAAGGAAGGUGAGGAUGACAUCAAGUCAUCAUGCCCCUUAUGCAUUGGGCAACACACGUGCUGCAAUGGACAGGACAAAGAGUCGCGAUCUCCCGAGGGUGAGCUAACUCCAAAAAACACAUUCGAACCUCUGUCCUCUUAUAUUGGCAACAAUGCCUAUGUCAAUUAAGCUAAGACUCAAUCGGCUUAAUUUAAAAAAAUUUA
rnacentral:rRNA from 1 species